GAUGAACGCUGGCGGCGUGCCUAAUACAUGCAAGUCGAGCGGAAGGACGAGAAGCUUGCUUUUCUGAUGUUAGCGGCGGACAGGUGAGUAGCACGUGGCUAACCUACCUAUAAGAAUGGGCUAAAUUCGGGACAAAGGCGCUAAUAGCGGCUAAUAUUUUGAACCGCAUGGUUCAAAAGUGAAAGACGGUCUUGCUGUCCCUUAUCGAUGGAUCCGCGCUGCAUUAGAUAGUUGGUAAGGUAACGGCUUACCAAGGCAACGAUGCAUAGCCGACCUGAGAGGGGGAUCGGCCACACUGGAACUGAGACACGGUCCAGACGCCUACGGGAGGCAGCAGUAGGGAAUCGUCCGCAAUGGGCGAAAGCCUGACGGAGCAACGCCGCGUGAGUGAUGAAGGUCUUCGGAUCGUAAAACUCUGUUAUGAGGGAAGAACAUAUGUGUAAGUAACUGUGCACAUCUUGACGGUACCUAAUCAGAAAGCCACGGCUAACUACGUG
rnacentral:rRNA from 1 species